UGCAUUACACUAACUAAUGCAACAGAUAAAAACAUUGCAAGAUAUUUAAAAAACACAUCCACCAUGUUACCAGUCAAUACCAGCAGAUGUGUUUGAAGAAGCACCACGUCAUACUAUCAGAAAUCAAAAUUGUGGCCUGUUCAACAACAAAUAGAAUCCAUAUAUUCAAAUAAAAUACAAUGAAACUACAUAAAACAUGUAAAAGAAGACAGAAAAAAGCCAAUGGACCCUAUUGACACAACAGCCAUAUUCCCUUGAUGUGAUGCUAAGAGUUGGAAGCUCAUUGUUAUUAUGCACCUUUACAUUUCACAGAAAAUGGUAUGGAACAAUGAACAGAUUUGAAUUAUCACUACCAUAUGAUGUCUGUAUGUCAAGCGCUUUAUGACAAAAAAGCUCUUUGACAUCAACUACAUGAGGUCCAACUUUUGUGCACACAACUUUAAAAGCAUUAAAAUGCUCAUCGAGACAUAUUGUUUGUAAGGAAAUAGUUACCAAAAGCAAUUUCUCAUCUUUGACAACAACAUGGUGGAUUCGCUGAAAAACUGGCAUCUCACAAUGAACUCUCACACAAACAACUAAACCUGGACGAUACACAGUUCCAUUGUGUUUGGCCCAUCUCACAUUUAAUACCUUGGUGUCAACAGGUAACUGAAGCAUCCCUGCCAUCUCAUAGCCCCAUUCCAUCACUUGUAAAGACAACAUUUUACAAGGGCCUGUUGUCACUCUGCUGGGGUCAAAUGUCUGCCACUUGUAUGCCAUUUGUGUUUGGUGUUUCCUUGUGUGGCAAUACGUAGUUCAUUGUCCUGGUAACUGUCAGGUGUGCUGCAGUUCCACCCAAUCACCGUGGGAGACUGCCACAUAAAGGCGGGCGUAAAGCACCUGUCAGCCCCUUGCUUGCUGGAGUCUGGGUCGCGUCACUCCUGUGCUUCCUCCAUUUCCGCGUUCGUGUGGUUACAGGUGGGCUGCCGGCUGCACUUCUCACGUAUGUCGCCCAUCCAGUGCUAAUGUUAUUGUUUUAUAAAGGUCCACCUGGGUGUUGCUGCUGGCUGCGCGCUGUGUGCCGCGCUGUGUGCCGCUCACUGUCCGCCGCUGGUCGCUCUCGGGGAGCGUGAUUCCUCCGUCCCACGCUGUGUUGGCCGGGAUCGCCUGAUCGGUAUGUAGUGCAGUGGUCUUAGCUUCCUCCUCCAGCCAUUCAUAAGUUUCUCAUUGUUUGUUCACUUCAUCGUAGGACGACUGACCGUAACGGCGCAGCGCCGACUAACCCGCUCCGAGAACCGCUGCUGCUUUGCUUCUACUCUGUUUCCACUUCUUUCCCUGAGUUGAAGAGAUUAUUUGGACUGAUUGCUGUGCCGCAUUGGAACUGUGUGUUUGCGGGACUUAUUGUUUCGCCUUACGCCGGACACUCACUGCUCCACCCAGUUUCUGAUCGCCUUGUCCGUUUAUUCGGCUGGUGAUAGUGUACGUGCUUCACCCGUUGCUCGCAGGGCGAAGCGGUCGCUUGGUGCUGAGCCUACGGUGGUGGAUUGGUGUCCUGGUCACGGUGUCCCCUUUUUGUUGUGUUAGCACUUUGUAGCUUCUUUGUUUUGUUUACUUUUAUUUGCUUCACGUGUGGUGUUCCUGGGAUCCCCUUUUCUUUUGGAUACGGUUUUUCGCUGUAGGUCUCAGCACUGAUUGGUUUCCCUUAUAUGUCCCCUUACGUGAGUAAUUCUUUUAUAUUACUUUUAAAAUAGAAAUUUGUGUAAAUAAAAGUGUUUUUGUAUUAUUGAA